GGGGAGACCCCGAUCUUCACGGAGUAUUUCCUGGAAAAGAAAAAAAGCAUUCCCCACCCUCGCUCCUGAAACACUCGACCAGUCACCUCCACCAUCUCCGUCCGACUACCUCCUGCCGGCGUCUGCUCUCCACAUUCCAUUCCCGGAAUCCUACCUCACCUACUUCUCUUUUCCCCCUCCGGCUUCCUCACCUUCCGCGUCCAGUCCGACUGCUCGUCCUCUUGCCUGACGUCGAUGGCGACUCCGCAAACUCGAGGACAUCACCAGCCACCGACGUCCGACGACCCAUCCCGGGCGUCUUUAGUCUCACGAAAAAGAAAACAAGAAGCGUCUCGGUGUUUCUCUCCUCGGGGCACGGUCGCCAUUGAAGUUCCAAACAAAACUCGAAGCCAAAGCCGAUCCACGUCGUCCACCACCUCCAGAACAUUGUCUGCUCGUUGCCAUUCGUCGUCGCCGUUCCUGACCUCGGCGGAGUCGACUGGAGCCAGACACGAGUUUGGAGCCUGUAAUACUUGGACUCUUCGACCAAGUGAAAGAAGUGAUGGGACCUAUAAAAAAAAAAGGAAGAGAAAAU
rnacentral:lncRNA from 1 species